rnacentral:rRNA from 1 species
UACGAAGGGAGCUAGCGUUACUCGGAAUCACUGGGCGUAAAGCGCAUGUAGGCGGAAUUAUAAGUCAGGGGUGAAAUCCCAAGGCUCAACCUUGGAAUUGCCUUUGAAACUGUAAUACUUGAGUAUGGUAGAGGAUAGUGGAAUUUACGGUGUAGCAGUGAAAUGCGUAGAGAUCGUAAGGAAGACCAGUGGCGAAGGCGAGUCUCUGGACAGAUUCUGACGCUGAGGCACGAAGGCCAGGGGAGCAAACGGG